UACAUAGGCAGCAAGCGUUGUUCGGAGUUACUGGGCGUAAAGAGUGCGUAGGCGGUCGUUUAAGUUUGGUGUGAAAUCUCCCGGCUCAACUGGGAGGGUGCGCCGAAAACUGGACGGCUUGAGGAUGGGAGAGGCAUGCGGAAUUCCUGGUGUAGCGGUGAAAUGCGUAGAUAUCAGGAGGAACACCUGCGGUGUAGACAGCAUGCUGGACCAUUUCUGACGCUGAGGCACGAAAGCGUGGGUAGCAAACAGG
rnacentral:rRNA from 1 species